UAGUAAAUACAAUAGUCUCAUGUCC
rnacentral:piRNA from 1 species